rnacentral:lncRNA from 1 species
ACAGUUGGUCAAAAAUUGCGUCAGCCUUGGUAAUAUCAAAAGUAUAAACCUUUGACGGUUUAAAUGUUCAUUCAUUGGCCGAGCGACUUUUGGCUUCUCUAGAAUCAACCUAAGCCAAUGCCUUGCAAACGUAUGGCUUAUCUAUCACUAUCUCAGCCGCAUCCACACUAACGUAUUCAUCCUCGGUUGAUGCAUAAUUGACAGUAGGGUUCUUGUAAAUCGUUCCCCGAGUUGGAGUCUUCGAAGUCUUUUCCUCGCGGAGCAAAUAAUCAUACUGCUCGACAUGUUGGGCUAAUUUGUACAUAUCCCGAAAAUUUGCCCCC